rnacentral:rRNA from 1 species
GUAGGUGGCAAGCGUUGUCCGGGAAUUAUUGGGCGUAAAGCGCGCGCAGGCGGUUCUUUAAGUCUGAUGUGAAAGCCCACGGCUCAACCGUGGAGGGUCAUUGGAAACUGGAGAACUUGAGUACAGAAGAGGAAAGCGGAAUUCCACGUGUAGCGGUGAAAUGCGUAGAGAUGUGGAGGAACACCAGUGGCGAAGGCGGCUUUCUGGUCUGUAACUGACGCUGAGGCGCGAAAGCGUGGGGAGCAAACAGGAUUAGAUACCCUGGUAGUCCACGCCGUAAACGAUGAGUGCUAAGUGCUAGGGGGUUUCCGCCCCUUAGUGCUGCAGCUAACGCAUUAAGCACUCCGCCUGGGGAGUACGGCCGCAAAGGCUG